UCAAAACAAUAGAUGAACCUUCUUCACAUUUACAAAUUUAAAGCCUAUGAUUUAAGAUAACUUUCAAUGAAAAACCCUCCAACUUGACUAAAGAUCUCAGAUGUCGGUUAAAAAAAUAAUAA
rnacentral:sRNA from 1 species